GCCCGGUUGGUGUAGCGGUAACACAACUAGCCUCAUGAUGUAGGGCCGCGGAAGGGCCUGCUGAGAUAGCUUGUGAGUCCUUGGUUCGAAUCCAAGACUGGGCG